AAACACACACAACUUCAAUAAUUUUCACUAAAGAGGUGAAUCUAUUUAGAAAAAAAAACCUCCAGAAACUUAGAACUUCCCCGUCUUUAUGAUGCUCUAUUUUGAGUGCAAAUAUAAAUAGGCAAGCGAUGACGUAUUCAUAUACUUAUACAUUGAGAUACGCAGAGAGGUGAUGCACGCAUGCUAAUGCAAAAGUAUAGCAACCUGCCUCUAGUAUGACUCGACUUACAGCCUGUUUAAGGUAGAUGGAAAACAAUUCCUAACAAACCAGGCAACAAUUACCAUGUAGCAGCACUCUUACCUGGAAAUAUUUCCAAGGAAGAAAAUGUCGUUACCAUCAACAUACUUGCUGUCUGAAUGUAUCAACCAAUUUCCUGUUAGGAAAUGCUUCCCUAGAUGAUUAGUAAUAUUUACUCUUAUUCUUAAUGGCAGCAUGCUAAAAAUAAAUUACUUCUCAAUUUUUAGAUCCCUAAAUCCCGCCCCAAAGACAUGUACAUUUUAGGACUUCCACAAGCACAAGAAUGAUUCAAUUUACACAGAUGUAUAAACUAUAAAAAUGUAUAAACUAUUCCUAACAUCAGGUGUUAGAAGUAAAAACUUAUCAACCAGGCGCAAGAAUAAAAAGUUAACAUGUA